AGCUCAUGCAUCAGGAAAGUGGUGCUCGACUUCCCUGCGGUAUGUGUGUGACCUUGGGAAUGCCGCUUACCACCAGAUAUAUUUACUAGUGUGAAAGAAAAGGCGUUUGGAAGACUCAUUGAAGAAUGAGUUGAAAUGAAGUCCAACUGUACGGUGCCAUUUCAGAGAAGAUGAGAAAGUCGCAGGCGGCCAGCGAGGAGAGCAGCUGAGGCAGGAAAGGGGGCACGGCUGCUACAAGCCAAGGGACGGAGAGGAUUGCUGCCGAUUGCCACCAGCGGGGAAGGGACUGAGCUCUGGUCGCUGUCACUCACAUAAAAGCCAGGGCUCUGGGGCGGAUCUGUAACCCUGCCCGGCUCCUGGUUCAGGGACAGUCCCUGCCCCAAAGCCUCUCAUCAGCCCCAUGACUGGCAGGAAGCAAGACUGUGGAACUGUGUGCUAAAAACUCAGGGUUACUAGAAGGUUCACAUUCAGAGAGUCCUGCAGUCGUCGUGCUUUUGUUAAAACGUGUCUAACUCGGCCAUCCUCUGAGACGCGGGGCUCUCCUCCUCAUGGAUUGUCUGCCUCGCUGACAACCACGCGCCUAAAGGUUCAGUUUCAGACUUAACAUCUUGUCUUCAUUAUUUACCUCCUUUUGCUCUUACUUUGGCUCCCGUUACCAAUAAAAUAAAAUUUCU